rnacentral:rRNA from 1 species
UCCGUAGGGUACCUGCGGAAGGAUCAUUAAAAAAUACAAUUAUACACUGAUUUGCUUUAGUCAACACACAACAACUUAUGUCUGUCAAAACACACAACAAUCAAAACUUUCAACAACGGAUCUCUUGGUUCUCGCAUCGAUGAAGAACGCAGCGAAAUGCGAUACGUAAUAUGAAUUGCAGUUUUCGUGAAUCAUCGAAUCUUUGAACGCACAUUGCGCCUUGUGGCAUUCCACAAGGCAUGCCUGUUUGAGCGUCAUUUCUCCCUCAAACCCACGGGUUUGGCGCUGAAUGGUACUCAGGUUCAUUUGAAAGGAAUGCAGUCUCAAUGUUUUAGUUUUCAUUGACACACUCCCGACUUGACCUCAAAUCAGGUAGGACUACCCGCUGAACUUAAGCAUAUCAAUAAGCGGAGGA